GAUGAACGCUGGCGGCGUGCCUAAUACAUGCAAGUCGAGCGAACAGACGAGGAGCUUGCUCCUCUGACGUUAGCGGCGGACGGGUGAGUAACACGUGGAUAACCUACCUAUAAGACUGGGAUAACUUCGGGAAACCGGAGCUAAUACCGGAUAAUAUAUUGAACCGCAUGGUUCAAUAGUGAAAGACGGUUUUGCUGUCACUUAUAGAUGGAUCCGCGCCGCAUUAGCUAGUUGGUAAGGUAACGGCUUACCAAGGCGACGAUGCGUAGCCGACCUGAGAGGGUGAUCGGCCACACUGGAACUGAGACACGGUCCAGACUCCUACGGGAGGCAGCAGUAGGGAAUCUUCCGCAAUGGGCGAAAGCCUGACGGAGCAACGCCGCGUGAGUGAUGAAGGUCUUCGGAUCGUAAAACUCUGUUAUUAGGGAAGAACAAAUGUGUAAGUAACUAUGCACGUCUUGACGGUACCUAAUCAGAAAGCCACGACUAACUAC
rnacentral:rRNA from 1 species